AACGAACGCUGGCGGCAUGCCUAACACAUGCAAGUCGAACGAGACCUUCGGGUCUAGUGGCGCACGGGUGCGUAACGCGUGGGAACCUGCCCUUAGGUUCGGAAUAACUCCCCGAAAGGGGUGCUAAUACCGGAUAAUGUCUUCGAACCAAAGAUUUAUCGCCUUUGGAUGGGCCCGCGUUGGAUUAGCUAGUUGGUAGGGUAAAAGCCUACCAAGGCGACGAUCCAUAGCUGGUCUGAGAGGAUGAUCAGACACACUGGGACUGAGACACGGCCCAGACUCCUACGGGAGGCAGCAGUGGGGAAUAUUGGACAAUGGGCGAAAGCCUGAUCCAGCAAUGCCGCGUGAGUGAUGAAGGCCUUAGGGUUGUAAAGCUCUUUUACCCGGGAUGAUAAUGACAGUACUGGGAGAAUAAGCUCCGGCUAACUCCGUG
rnacentral:rRNA from 1 species